UGAGGAAUAUUGGACAAUGGGCGAAAGCCUGAUCCAGCCAUGCCGCGUGAGUGAUGAAGGCCCUAGGGUUGUAAAACUCUUUCACCGGUGAAGAUAAUGACGGUAACCGGAGAAGAGGCCCCGCCUAAUUUCGUGCCAGCAGCCGCGGUAAUACGAAAGGGGCUAGCGUUGUUCGGAAUUACUGGGCGUAAAGCGCGCGUAGGCGGAUUGCCAAGUUGGGGGUGAAAUCCCGGGGCCCAACCCCGGAACUGCCUCCAAAACUGGUAGUCUAGAGGAUGUGAGAGGAUAGUGGAAUUCCAAGUGUAGAGGUGAAAUUCGUAGAUAUUUGGAAGAACACCAGUGGCGAAGGCGACUGUCUGGCACAUUUCUGACGCUGAGGUGCGAAAGCGUGGGGAGCGAACAGGAUUAGAUACCCGUGUAGUCC
rnacentral:rRNA from 1 species